rfam:Eubacterium cellulosolvens 6 chromosome, whole genome shotgun sequence.
GCUGGUGGCGAUGCGCUUACGGGACACACCCGUUUCCAUUCCGAACACGAUGGUUAAGACGUAAGAGGCCGAAAGUACUAUACUGGAGACGGUAUGGGAGGAUAGGUGGCCGCCAGCA